rnacentral:lncRNA from 1 species
GUGCUGGGCGCAGAAUCUGAGGCCCAUGACCUCGUCCGCCAUGUUCACUCCUACAUUCCUUACACCCAGGACGGCGCCUGGGAUAACCGGGGCUCCAUGAACACUUCACGUAUCUGUUCAGUGUUCUGUUCAACUACUCCACUAAUGCAUGAAAGAAGAAAUGAAGUCAUUCUCCAGCUCUUUCCUUUUUAAAUUGUCUCCAUUCUUUCCUCUUCUUCCUACGUUCCUUAUGUUUUUUUCCCUACAACAUAUGAAUAGUCUAGGACUUCCAGGGCACCAUUCCAACUCUGGCCGAUGAUUCCACACAUCCUGGGAGUUAACCCCUUGCCACCAGCCGUAAACUCCGAGCUGGGCUCUGCAUCAAGUGCUCUACAAAUGCAAGCCAGUGAUGUCUUCGUGUAAAUCAGACAAGACACAAAGCCGAGGAGGUGAUCACGAUGGAAGCAGGUGCUGACACAGUCUUCAAGGUCAAGUGCCCCAAGGAAAACCAUGGCAGUGACGCAAGAACCUCAGCGGUAAAACCCAGGCAGGGCUUCAGGGCUUCAAAUCCCCCUCAGAGCACCCCAACCCCCAACAGAGAGAGUCGAAGAUAGAGAAAAUUUAUGGAUGAGGUGCAUGCGCCAUUAAAGGAGUCCUGUCUUUCAUGGCCAUCCUUUGGGACAAACGUUGUGUCUACAAGGCAAGGACACUGAUGAUUCCUUACCACCUCCCGGAAGAGGAUGGGGAAAACCCAGUCACAAAGGGAAGAGCAUGAUGAGAGACAGAGCUCACAUCACAGAGAUCCUAGGGGAUGCUAUUUUUUCUCUUCUUUCUAAAGUCUCUGUAAAAAAGCUCCAGACUUUUGUUUCUGAGUUGUGACCACUUUAAAGAAUGUAAAAUCCGAGCUAAAGUGGCUGCCACAUGAUUUCACCUCUGGCUGCUGGUGUGAGACACAGGGGUGGGGCUCUGGGGGUUGACAUCUGACUCUCAGCCUUGGGGAAGAAUGUGGUUAGAAAGAAGGGGUCUCUGAUGUGAUGCUGCUGCCAGUGGAGUUUGGGGCUUUGUGCCGUAACUAGAAGCAAUUCAGGCAGGAAAGGCUGGAGGAACUGAUGAAAAGGAACAGCAGGCAGAAGUGGAGGGAGAUGCAAGGCUGUGGAAAAAGGAGAAAAUAAACAGAGGUGACUCACGCUAUCUCUAAUCCAUGCCAAGCUCCCCUGCUCCCCUGUGUACAGGGACCAGGGGAAAUCUUCAACUUAGUUUCUGGUCAGUGUAGGCCAAAAAUCUACACUUGCAGUAACUCUUCAUCAUUUCAUAAAGCUUUCUGCUCAGAGCAUCUUAGUUGGUCUAAUGAAUUUGUAAAGGUAUAAAGAAUUUGUGUGAUUUUUUCCCCCAGGCUCCUAGCAUGGAGCUUCUAACAUCCUCGGGAUUUCCUGAAUGAUAGAAGUACCUCUGUUAUUCGUGAGUCCUGUCUAUCACUAUGCUAUCAUGAAGUUAACGAGGUGACUCAUUUGUGGGACCCUAAAUAGCUUCAGAAUGGGAGCUGGUCACCAGGAAGACUGACCGUAUGAUUAGAGGGUCUUUAGUUGGCUCUUUGAGCUAGCUCUGGCUCCAGGGAAAGAAGGAAGACUGGUGAUUGAGUUUAACUAUGGGGCCAAUGAUUUAAUCAAUUAUGCCUAUGUAAUAAAACUCUGGAUGCCAAAGCUCAGUGGAACUUUCUGACUGGUGAACACUUUGAUGUGCUGGACAUGAUGCACCCUCACUCCAUGAGAAGACUGCCCAGGACCCUCCCAGACCUCAUAUGUGUCUCUUCAUUUGGCUGUUCCUGAUCUGUAUGUAUUUUUUUAAUAAUAAAAGUGUACUCAUAGUCUAGCUCUUUCCUGAGUUCUU